GGAUUGGUGAUACAAAACAGGAUCACCCCGUUCUUCAUUGUUUUCCUUUGACUGCUGCUGAAGCAAAUUCUACCUGGCAGCAGCUUGGGCUCUACAAUACUCAUCCCCUGGGCUGAGAUCUGCAACAAGCGUAAAAAGGAUAAGGAGGAAAGGCAAUGAAAUCCACAUGGCUAAUCACCUCCUAACUUAAGAAGAGCAUACAGAAAGCAGCAAAUAGGAAAUAGUCCUUUUGUGGAAAACACAGCUAACCCCACUGACAAAACGGGAAGAGAGCCUGCCUCAGAAUAACCUGUUGACAUAUGGAGAAUGAUGGAAACAAAUGCUGCCUGGAUGUUGGAUGAUACAGGCAGCAUGUGACACAAAAACUCUGUGAUGAAUGGAAUUAACUCUCAUUUUGAGAAGUGAAGUAUCUGCUUCAGCCCUGAUCCUUUCUGACAUCUUGAAAUGUCGAACUGAUAUCCAGUGGACUCUUGAACUCUGCUAUCUGCCAAGAAGAAAUUUGGGCCUUCGAGUUUUCUUUCAUUCUAGAAUGAAAUCUCUAGAUGUUAUCUAGCUAGAAGUAUAUUAUCCAUCCCCUUGGAAAUCGGGAUAACAGAUUUCGGGAAGGUGUCUGGUGCCAAUUUUGUUAUUAAAAUGUUGAUUAUAACCAUCUGAAUCAUCCACACCAGUUAUAAAUCCUAAAUAUUAGAUAUUCUUUUUCUUUGAGAUUUUAUUUCCACCUGCUUGCAGUGCACCAAUUUUCCUGAGCCCUUCUGUAAAAUGAAGAAAUUAUUCCACUCAUGCUUCAACGCUGACUUCAAAAUACCCAGGAACUGUCACGCUGCCCAAUUGUUUUGGUAAAGUGUGAAUUGCACUUUUGCAAUGUGUGAUAGUUGAAAAAUUUCCCAAUUGGAUGAGAUUUUCCCCAUCUUAUGUAGCCUUUGGUCCAAUAAAAUAUAUUGUUCCUCCUGGUGGUCUGCAGUGAGAUUUUCAGGGAACUCAGCCUCAUAGAAGGAGUAGGCUUCCACAAAGCUGCAAUUAGACCUUGCUCAGCAUUUUUUGAAAUGAUUGUUUCAGUAUAUUCCAAAGCCAGGUUUUACUCAGUAGGAAUGGAUAUUCAUGCCUCAUAAAAAGCUGAACAAAUACAGUUGUUUUUUGUUUGUUUGUUUUGGUUUGGAUAUUUUUUAUUUUUAUUUAUUUAUUUUUUUUUUUGCACAGAGGAUCAUUCAAAUGAUUGUAGUUCAUUUUGUGGAAUAGGUGUUAUGCUCAUUAACUUGUUUCUUAACAUCUGCACUGCAGCUUUGGCAGAUCACAGGAGACAGUUUGUUGGAGCGUGCUUUCAGAGGCACAUGAUGCCAAACCUUAUGUACUUAUUUCCACCUGAAAAAUCAGUUUCCAAAGUCCUUGAAAAAUCACUAGCCCCAUACAUCUGCAUAGAGGCCUUUAUGAAAUGAGAGGAAUAUUUUAGGGAAGGAGUUUGCAGUGGAGAGCUGUCACAGUGUAGGUCCAUGGUACAAUACUCUGUGUUCAGAAAUGGAGGCGCCAAAUAAUCAAACUUUAUGUAUGUAAUUCUAAGUCAGUUAAUGAAGUGUCCUAUACUACCAAAUUGUGUCUUACAACAACCAAAUAUUACUCAAAAAAAAAAAAAAAAAAAGAUUUUUUUCUUAUUUCCUGAACAGGUAACACUGCUUCUCUUUGUCCCAGAUGGAGCAUACAACAUGUUGUUGAAGUGCUUUGAAAAAUACUUUUUUUUAAUUCAAUAAUCACAGAAUCACAGAAUUGUAGGGGUAGGAAGGGACCUCCAGAGAUCAUCGAGCCCAAACCCCCUGCAAAGCAGGCCCCCUACAGCAGGUUGCACAGGUAGGCAUCCAGGUGGGUCUUGAAUAUCUCCAGAGAAGGAAAAUACACAACCUCCCUGGGCAGCCUGUUCCUGUGCUCCGUCACCCUCACUGUGAAGAAGUUCCUUCGCAUAUUGGUGCUGAACUUCCUAAACUCCAGUUUAUGGCCAUCUCCCCUUCUCUUGUGCCCACAGACCACUGAAAAAAGGUUGGCCAUGUCCCUUUGAGUCCCACACUUAGGAUAUUUAUAAACAUUAAUAAGAUCCCCUCUGAGUCUUCUUUCCUCAAGGCUGAACAGACCCAGGUCACCCAGUCUUUUCUCAUACGGGAGAUGCUCCAGGCCCUUUAUCAUCUUUGUGGUAAAUAAUGUCUCUUAAAACUUUAGACUUCUGUAAAAAUGCAACAAGAAUAGAAGUUACAUCUGACUAAGGAAAUCUUAGCUUGCAAACAAACUUUGCUUGCAAAAUUUUAUUAGGAUGAUACACAAAGUUCUUGUAUUCGGGUAGGCCCAGGGCUGCUCCAGAAUUCAUUGGUGUGGGGAGUUCUAAAAGAUCGGCUUGUUAGUUAUAUCUUUUACAUGAUUUUUGAUGAAAAUGCACUUCAAGAAAUAUUUAAUUCUCUUUUACUCUC
ensembl:lncRNA